UCGAGAAUCUUUCGCAAUGGGGGAAACCCUGACGACGCGACGCCGCGUGGAGGAUGAAGGCCUUCGGGUUGUAAACUCCUGUCAGCAGGGGAGAACAAGCUUUUGAUGAAUAAUCGAGAGCUUUGACAGUACCUGCAGAGGAAGCCACGGCUAACUCUGUGCCAGCAGCCGCGGUAAUACAGAGGUGGCAAGCGUUGUUCGGAUUUAUUGGGCGUAAAGGGUCCGUAGGCGGCCUGAAAAGUUGGAUGUGAAAUCCCACAGCUUAACUGUGGAACUGCAUUCAAAACUUUCGGGCUCGAGUGUGAUAGGGGUAAAGGGAAUUCCCGGUGUAAGGGUGAAAUCUGCAGAGAUCGGGAGGAACACCAGUCGCGAAGGCGCUUUACUGGAUCACUACUGACGCUGAGGGACGAAAGCCAGGGGAGCAAACG
rnacentral:rRNA from 1 species